rnacentral:rRNA from 1 species
GACGAACGCUGGCGGCGUGCUUAACACAUGCAAGUCGAGCGGUAAGGCCCUUUCGGGGGUACGACGAGCGGCGAACGGGUGAGUAACACGUGGGUGACCUGCCCUCAGCUCUGGGAUAAGCCCGGGAAACUGGUCUAAUACCGGAUAUGACUUCAUGACGCAUGUUGUGGAGUGGAAAGCCUUGUGCGGCUGAGGAUGGGCCCGC